CCCUGUAGCACGUGACGAGGAAACCAGACGGCUGUAAGUGACACUCGAGUAAAAACGGUAAAUAGCUCGCUUCCUGUAAACGGAUACCGUCCAACCAGAUACCCGCCCGACAGGGUUGAGCCACGUGCGCCGGCACGAGUCUCUUUCUAACUACGCCGGACCUUUGUCCCUGCUUACAAUUACAGCAAAUCGCUGGUUCCGACAGGGAACAGUGAGGAAUCUUUGGUGUUCGAGGGAGUAUUUCCAGUGGAAAAUUACGUUUCGGUUCUUUAGUAUAGGACUUUUUUCGCGAUUGGUCAGGAUGUUGCGGGAAGUUUAAUACAACAGGAUAUAUAGGGUUAUUGUUAAGGAUACAUUUGUACUUUUGGAGACUCUGGGCACAACAUCGUCACAAAGUGUUUCUCAAGAAUGUGAAAUAUGCAUGGAAGCUAUCUGUAACCAGGUACACCCGUCUUUUUCACCUGCAAUGUGAUAUUGCAAAUAUUCCUUCAGCGCUUAUGCGUUUUCUCGAAGGUAUAUCACAACUAUGUGAAAAAAAAUAUACUUGAGGUAUUGACACAUUUUAUUAAUAUUAUAUAACAACGGUAACCUCGAGUAUUAUGAAAUUACAAGCAGUAAAAAGAUAUCCUAUAAUUUAAGGUACUAAAUUAAUAAACAAUUUAAGUUAUCGUUUGCCAAGUUAUAAUUUAAGUUUAUCGUUUGCUAUGAAUAAUGUAAUAAUAUUUACACUAUAUAUAUUCUCAUUGUUAUGAUAUAACAAUAUUAUACAAAUAGCGAGAAUCUAUGUAAUAGUACGAGUAUAUACUAAACUGAAGGUGAUGCAACGUGAAUUACUAAAGUUAACAUUAUAUAACAAACCACAAGCGUAAAUUCAACGUACAAGCGUCGACUGAAAUCGUGGAGAGAGGAAGCAUUUCACCUGUGAAUCGAACUGUAAUACCUAUUUCAAAAACCUCGCAAAAUAUUAUGAAUGUAGGCAGCGUUGUCAAUAGUUUCACUUUAACAUAAUUUCCGAAUAGCCACAAGCACAUCCUAUUGUGGUAACGACCCACCGCAAACAAUGAA